AGAGUUUGAUCCUGGCUCAGGAUUAACGCUAGCGGCAGGCCUAAUACAUGCAAGUCGAACGGGAUUUCGGGUAGCAAUAUCUGGAUGAGAGUGGCGCACGGGUGCGUAACGCGUAUGCAACCUACCUUUGUCUGGGGAAUAGCCUUCCGAAAGGAAGAUUAAUACCGCAUAAAGUAUUGAUGAGGCAUCUCAGCGAUACC
rnacentral:rRNA from 1 species